UUUUGAAAACUCUUACAGUAACCACCACAAUGAAAAAACAAUAUUGCCCAGAUGUGUUGGAGAGCUGCUAUUAUUAUGUCAUAUUAUUGAGACAAGAUUCUGAAACUCCUUCCCCCAAGAUACAGGAAGGAAAAACGAGAAUGUGGAAAUAAUGGUCUUACCCACUUUCCUGUAGCCCUUGACCUUUGAGCCCUAAUGAACUAUGUAAAGAUCAUCAAAACAAUACGGUUGAAACAGAAAAAAAAAAAGAAGAUUCUGAAACUCAUCUGAACAGGUGGAAUUUGUUCUUCGCAAGCAGCUCUCUGGAAGGUAGAAGGCAGCGUCUCUUCAUGGCGGACAAUCAUCUGGUUAUUCAUUUGAUUGCGUCAUAAAGGGAAAUGUCUAGAUUCAUCCCUGAUUUCUAAAAGAGGACAGGAAUAAGUUCCUUUCAAGGCAGGUGCCUGCUGUGACAACAGGGUUAUGACCCUCCUUCUCCGCCUCGGAACAGUCUAUGAGAGAGCCAUCAUCUCUUACGAAGAGUCAAGAGUCUGACCCAUCAUGGUUCAUGCCUGCCCAGGUGGAAUGCCACUUCCUCCAGGAGGACUUCAAGGAUUGCCCUACUUCCACCAUGGUGCAGGCUGCUGAGGCUGAAUCACCCAGCUCGACUUAGCCUGUACGCAAAUGUGAGCCCUGUUUUUGGAUGUGUACUCAUCGCUACUCCCCUAUUCCUGACCUUUAGCCACCUGACCGCUGGAGCAGUUAUUGUUACCUAUGAAUGAACUCAA